rnacentral:rRNA from 1 species
UACGUAGGGUGCAAGCGUUGUCCGGAAUUAUUGGGCGUAAAGAGCUCGUAGGCGGUUUGUCGCGUCUGCUGUGAAAACUCGGGGCUUAACCCCGGGCCUGCAGUAGGUACGGGCAGACUAGAGUGCGGUAGGGGAGACUGGAAUUCCUGGUGUAGCGGUGAAAUGCGCAGAUAUCAGGAGGAACACCGGUGGCGAAGGCGGGUCUCUGGGCCGUAACUGACGCUGAGGAGCGAAAGCGUGGGGAGCGAACAGG